UACGUAGGGUGGCAAGCGUUUGUCCGGAAUUUAUUGGGCGUAAAGAGCUCGUAGGCGGUCUGUCACGUCGGAUGUGAAAAUCCAGGGCUUAACCCUGGACCUGCAUUCGAUACGGGCAGACGUAGAGUUCGGUAGGGGAGACGUGGAAUUCCUGGUGUAGCGGUGAAAUGCGCAGAUAUCAGGAGGAACACCGGUGGCGAAGGCGGGUCUCUGGGCCGAUACUGACGCUGAGGAGCGAAAGCGUGGGGAGCGAACAGG
rnacentral:rRNA from 1 species